rfam:Salmo salar isolate Sally breed double haploid chromosome ssa01, whole genome shotgun sequence.
CCAAAGGCUCUUUUAAGAGCCACCUAGUAUAUUAAAAUAAGUGUGU